ACUAUUUUGACAGAUAAAUGUGAUGGUUUUAGAAGUCAUAAAUAUAUAAUUAAAAUUAUAUAAGUAGUA
rnacentral:tRNA from 1 species